GACAGGAGGGGGCAAGCGUUGCUCGGAAUUAGCUAGGGCGUAAAGAGCUGCGUUAGGCGGUUUGUCGCGUCUGCUGACUGAAAACCCGGAGGCUCAACCUCGGGCCUGCAGUGGGUACGGGCAGACUAGAGUGCGGUAGGGGAGAUUGGAAUUCCUGGUGUAGCGGUGAAAUGCGCAGAUAUCAGGAGGAACACCGGUGGCGAAGGCGGAUCUCUGGGCCAUUACUGACGCUGAGGAGCGAAAGCGUGGGGAGCGAACAGG
rnacentral:rRNA from 1 species